GUUCAGUCGGUGAGGGGGAACACCAAGGUUUUGAUACAAAGGUAGCUCUCUGGCUCCUCACUGCCCAAUUCUUGAAUAGCCUCAGAAAAGUAGCCUGAUAAUUAGUAGUCACUGACUUUUAAUGAUCUGAUCUCAUUCUAAUGGCACAACCCCAAAAUCUCAGGCAAGACCAGCAAUUCUCACCUCUCUGUCUUCUUUUAAGUAUGGAAACAAGGGCUGACGAGAUGGAAGCACUCCUGGAAGCCUGACAAGCUCCACACAGUCCUACAGCGUUCCACCAUGUAAAAUCAGGCCUUCAUUUUGAACUUGGAAAUCUCCCCACUCGCAGGCAGUGGCAAUGCCAGCAAGCCACAGGUGGGCACCACAUGAGCAGAAUGAAGGUAGAUGCCUUGACUCAGAGUUGGUGGCUGUUUUGAAAGCUGGCCUUGCUUUGGACCAUUGAUGGGACUGUCUUCUUCAGCAAACAGUGAUCAUGAAACCAAAUUCAGCUUUCUUCAGGAAAAGGACAAAAACUGGGGUAUACCACUGGAUCUACUAUGGAAAAGUGUUUGAGUGAUGCCCACCUAAUAUAGAAGAACUUGUCAUAGCUCUGAUGCAGCGACAAUUGACCACUUGCUUUUACAUAAACACUAGGAAGAAAGGCAUGGCAUCAAGUGUUUUGAGAGCUGAAUUACAUCAAUAUUUCCUUUUCAGAAAAUCUAGAAUUAUUUCAAUGCACAAAAGCUGCCCUUUGAUGAAUACUUUUGUGAAAACCAUGCUCAUACUUACAGGAUCGUUGGAAAUGGUGGACAUAACUGUGCCUGGGCAGAAGAGACAAGGAGGAGAGAAGAACAAAGGCAAGGUCAAGAGCAACUACACUGAAAUUUGGAGAAAAAGCAAGUUAGAUAUAAGGAAGAGGACCUGGUAUGUAACAGCUAGGAUGGUGCCUGGUCCAUGGUGGACAGUAACUGGUCUGUUUUGAAUGCAUGAAUUUUCAUCGUAGUUUUUGUGAUCGUGUUUAUGAAGACACUGGAGCAACAAUGUUCUGCAAUUCUAGAGAUCUUGAUGUGGUGGCAGCCUUGUAUCCAGUCCUAUGUGAGCUUCCUGCAGGGCAACUUUGGCAUAUUCUCAGCAAACGUACAGUUGUUGGAUUUCACAUAAGGAGACUGUUAUCAUUUGGUCCUUGACAACUUUCAUAAACAGUCACUCUUAGCUUAACAAGCAAAUGUGUAACAGUUAAAAUUGGAAGAAAAAUAAGGCCAAAAUGGCAGCUUACUACACAACUUGCAUGCAUUCUAAAAUAAAGGAAAUAUGAAU